rnacentral:tRNA from 1 species
CCUUCGAUAGCUCAGUUGGUAGAGCGGGGGACUGUAGAUUUAUAAUUGUGAUCCCUAAAUCGCUGGUUCUAAUCCGGCUCGAAAUU